GCCAAGAACCAAGUGACGUUACAGGGAAAAAAAUUGAACGCAAAAUUGGGUAAUUCAUUCAUUUAUAACAGUGUUAGAUCGAGGAGGUGGUUUUAAAAUACAUGAAAAUUUGGCUCUUGUUUUAAAAAAAAGACGUCCUUGGAAAAUUUGACUACUAACUUUAAACCCAAAUGUCCUUGUUCAUAUAUAUAUGUAUAUGUAUUUGUAUAUACAUAUAUGUGUGUAUAGUAUCAUUUCUCUUGGGAUUUUGGGUCAUUUUUAACAGCUGCAUCUUUUUUACUCAUUCAUUAACCUUUUUCCAAAAUAAACAUUUGGUGUUGGGAAUAUGGUAUAAUCAAUCAAUCCAAAAUCCUAGACCUAACACUUGUUGAUUUUUAAUAAUGAAUCUGGUUAGCCAUGGUAUUUUGACUUUCUUUCAGACUAACAGUGUUAAGAAUUUUUUCUGCAUGUUAAUGCCUUUGUAUUUAAAAUGGAAAAUUGUGAACAUUAUCUGAUUUCAAGAGGUGAGUCUGGCAUUGCCCCCAAAGUGUCUAUCUUCUCAGUUCCAGAGCAUCUUGUUUACUCUCUCAAAUGCUCAAAUAACUGAAAAGCUCGACGCAAAUUUCCUAGUCACAAAAAAAAUAUCUCUCUUUUAGUUGCUAUUUAACUAUGUUGUUCAUAAUUUCAAAAUAAUUCUUUUGUUGUUUUUGGCUUUAUUUUUAAAAAUCUUGCAAAUAUUCAGGGUCUAGGGGUCCAUUGUGGAAUGGAAUUCUGCAGUUAGGCCUCGCAUAUUGAAGAAAACUGGGGCCAAUGCCAUUGAACUGCUAGUCUGUUUCCUUUCUGUCUUUCUCUGGCACCCCUGGUGCUACUGAGGAGUAGAACUGCCAGGGCGCAGCUCCAUUUCUUACACUGCUGCCACACAGUUCAACUCCUGUGUUUGUGUCGUGUUUCUUGUUUGUUUUUCUUUUCCUGUUUCUGGGGCUUACCUCCUGAUACCUGCCUACUUUGUGGAAGUGGUGGGCAGAUAAGGUUUGGUUUUUGGUUUCUGAUUAUUUAAUUUCUGAAUGACUGCUCUAGUCUGAACUUGGUCUUCUUUGGUCCAUAUUUUUAAUGUUGUAGUUAAACAAUUUUGUAAUUUAAAAAUAGACUAAUCUGAGGAUACUUUUCAAGAAGUAUAAUUAACUGAUGUCAUCCUCAUCCCAGCAGCUCAUCUGUUAUGAAUCAAGUUGAGAUGCGUCUCUUCCAUGUUUCUGUAUUUGGGAAGGAUUCACAGUUGAAGGUUUAAUAUAGUGAGGUUCUUAGAUGAUGAAAUUUCACCUCAGGAUAGCAAACACUGGUGCUUACACACUGGUCUGCCUGUGCAUCUCAGUUGGGACUUAGUUGCCCCUUUUGAGUGUUUUAAUCAUUGUAUAUCUAAUCAUAGUGCCAAGAAGUUCUUAAUGAGAUAGGUAACUACUGUUGCUGAGAAAUGGUCCUAAGAUCCGGUAGAGUCUCUAAACUGAGGACUUGUUACAGCUGACAACUAUAGUAUUUGCUUUUUCUCACAAAAUGAAACCAGUUUUUUCCUAAAGCUAGCUGGGAUAAUAGGAUCAUCACGAGUUGCAGUUUCUAGAACUAAAAUUAGAUUGAAAUCUCAUCUGACCUACAACAGUUUACUUCAGGCAUUCAGCAGCCUUCAGAAAGAAUUACCGUAUUUUGAACUAGUUCCAUUGUUAGUUUAUUGUGUCUCUUACUUAAUAAACAAGCAGAAUUUUUGUCCUGCUUUAUCCAGGUCUUAAAGAUGAGAAGUUGGAUCCACUGAGUUAGUAUGUUUCCUUGGGAAAAAAUUGUAAUUAAACUUAAGUUUAAUCCUUAUUUUGUAUUGUAGCUAUUUUUCGUAGAAGCAAGUUAAAAUCAGAAAAAUUUCAUAGCAUUACACAGAGGAGAUAUACAAAUUGUUACAUAAACACACACUUGUAAAAUUUUGAAAAAUUGGACUUUUCGUGAAACGUAGCACAUAGCAUUGACUGACAACUGUCACAGAUGCAUUUCCAGGUGGCAUAUUUUGACUCCAAACAAAAUACUUCUUCCUAUUAAAAUGUGCCAUUCCAUAGAAUACAAACAACAAAAUUCUUUUUUGUCUUUGACUUGUUAUAAACAGUUGUUUUAUUUUGGAUAUAGAACUUAGUGCCCCCAAAAAAGUCUUAGACAAAACCCCCUAUAUAUAAAGCCAUGAAAGUAUAGCAAGUUUGAGGGUGGCUCAUGAAGUAAGUACAGGGAGCCUGUUCCCCUAACCUCUACCCCAGCCUUAUUAUCUGGGUCGUCCAUUAAGAAAUCUCCUAUGAAGUUUGAAAACAAUUUCUCUAGGCUACUUACUCUUGAUUCCAAACUCUAAGUAAUAAGAGUAUUUAGAAGCCUACUCUCUUAGGAUCCACUACAGUAGCAUUUCAUUCACGGAAGAGGUCAUGCAGCUCAAUAAUUCAUUGAUUACAAGAAAUCCUUUCAGUGAUGAUGAAAAUAGCAUAUUAGAUUUUUCUGGUUAAAAUUUUUGUAGGUGUUUUUUUAAUACAUCGGAUCAUUUGUGAUUCACAGAGUUAUGUAUUCAGAGGUUUUCACUGCAGAUAGUUCAGUUUCUUAAGUGAAUCUUCACCAAGUAGAUCUCUAUAUUGCAGGAAUACCAUUCCUGGAAAAAUCCCCCAGGCGGUGGCAUCCACUAAUAUAUUUUAUAUGGUUAUCUUUAUUUUCGAAAAAUCUGUAUCUAAUGUUUCUUACAUGGAAAGUUGUUUUUGCACUUCACUAAGCAAAUAUCUAAGUUUCUUCAAAGUCUGACUUAACUGAGAUAGGCUUUAUUAAAUGUAGUAGGCAACCUAAUUACUUUUCUAAAGAAAAGGUCUUUUGAUAUAUUCCAUUCCAAAGCCCAUCAAAAGACUAAGAAACAAGGCAUUUCUCCUACUGCCCUCUAUGAUCUAUACUAGUUUUCAGUGCUCAAGUACCACAGAAUAAUAGUUACUGUUUUCGUACAUGGUAAGGAGAAAAAUAAAAGAUUCACGUCUAACAAAUUUCCAAAUGCACUUCACUCCUUUUAUAUGUGAUUAUUAGGAAAGUACUUUUCAAGAUGUUUAAGAAGCAGUACAGAAAAAGGAAAUAUUUUUAGGACAUUCAGAAUCCGGUUAAGUUCACCGUUUCUUUAGUUGAGGGCAGAGAUGGGGAGAAUUUCAGAAGGUAGUGAAGCCAAAGGUGGAUCCUCACAUAAUUCUGCUAUUCUCAUCAUCUUAACCCAUCUGUUCACUACUCCAGCCAUCAAUACUAAGCGUAGUUUUAUCAUAAUAGUAUAUGUGGUUGUCAAAUUGUUGACAUUUAAGAGAUUAGAAGUAUUUUUCCAUCACAUUAUCCUAUCCAUGUCCAUGGUCUUCCUUGAAUUACCUUCCAGUAUUUACUGGGCUUCACCUGCCAUUUAUGUCUAGCUUAACUUUUUCUGACUUCACCAAUUGCUGCUAGGAACGUGGCUGGUCACUCAGCAACGUAACCCAAAUCACAGGGGAAGACCUUGAAAUAUCUGGAGAGACUGAUCUGCUCUGAAUACACUCAAUCCAGAGAAGUACCAAGGAGCUGCAUUUGUUUGCUGAAAUUUUUGUCAGCUUUUUUCACUGGACAAUAAAGCCGGAGAGAAAAGAACUAAAUAACCCAACGGGAAGUGAAGAUGAGUAUGCAAGAGUCGAUUUGUGGUGGUCUGAAGCCCACGUCUCUAAGGCUUGUUGGACCUGUCAAACUUUACAACUUGUGAGAUUGUCUGGAUGAUACCACAGCAGUUGGAAGACCUAGAAGAAUACAGUGUUGCUGUGACUCGGUGGUGUAGAAUGCAGACCAUCCACCAGUUGGCGAAGGAAUCAGUUGUAACAGGAACAAAGGCAUUCAUUCCUUAUUUUAACUGUUGUUGCAGUGAAGAUGGGUUUUUGGACUUUCAGAAGCCAAGAGAUGCCACCUAAACUACGAGAUGAAAACCAAGGACUAAUGCACCCUGGGGAAAAGAAUGCUUAGUACUUGAAGAUUGAAUGUUGAAUACCUGCUGAAUGCUCUUAUUGAGAUUUUUUCCUAAACAAACUUCACUAACAUCUUAGGACUGGAGAAGCAUUGAUCCCUGGGUGGAGUAUCCUACCUUGGCCAAUCUGAAGAGUUAAAUCUGGAUUUGACUGCUGUAUUCUACCAGGAAUAUUGUUAGGCUAGCCUUUAACGAAUCCCUAAGUAAUUGUAAUCAUCAAAUGACCCAGCAACUGCUCAUAUAUCACAUUAAAAGAUGAACAGAUAUAAUUCUUAUCCCUAUUAAAGACACAGGAGUUUUCUAAUGUUUUGACUGACAAAGAACUAAUGUUUCCUUUUUAUUCUCAGUGGCAAUGGUUUCUGUUUUAGAGCUACUUGGAUAUUCAGCAAAGUAAAUUAUCCAAUAUAAUGUAAUUGUGUAAGCAAGCUAUGGUAAAAGAAAACCCAGCAAUUUUCGUAGUUGCGAAAACAUUAUUCUUUUUAUCGUAUUUAAGAAUAGUUGCAGAACUUGAAACCAACUGUUCAUUGGGGUUAGGGUUACUUUAUUUAGCUUAUCCAUAGUUUUAAUUUGCUUUAAAAUAUUCUGUAUUUUAAAGUUGGAAUUAGGUUACAGAAUUUGGUCAGAUCUUUAAGGUUUGAUUUGACAACCUUUUCUUUUUAUGCUUACCUAGCUAAUCCUGUAUAAUAAUUUAUAUCAAAUAGAUAAUAUUCCUUGUGGUAAAAUACCUUUUCACAAAGUUUCGUUAUCAUUUUUGGCGUUUGGUUUAUGAACUUAGUACUUGAACAGGCAGCAAAGGUCUAUUUUGCAUCCUCUGUUAGGCACUAUGGGGAGACAGAGAAGUACAGCACUUCGUCUUUAUUCUCAGGCGUAGCACAGCAGAUUAAAUGAAUAAAGAUGACUCUGACCUCAAAUGGGAAAACUCCUAGUUAACGAGUGAGAAUAUUUACCAAGAAAUAGUAUAUAAAUGUUUGGUGGUAUUAUCUUUGGGGAAAAAAGGCAUACAUGCAUGAAAAGUAAAUUAUGGAAGUAUUUUAUGUAUCCCAUAAAGCCCAUUGGAGAUGGUCCAACAAAUGUUUGAGAAGUACAAAAAAGGGAGCAGUUUAUGAUUGGCGAAAACAUGGUUUGUGCUACAGAAGUGAGAGAUCAGAGUGGGCUAGAAUGAGCUAUACUUAGGUCAGCUAAAAGAGUUUGGAAGGGGGUGGACCAAGAGGCAUUGAUAUCUUAAAGGAGGGCUUUAGAUGAGAAGGUGCUGAUGGGGUUUUUAUGUUAUUGCUAAGGGUUAGACAUAUUUCCUCUCUGCCAUCAGGCAUAGAUGAAGCAUGCAGCUAUAUUACUUGAAGCCUUCUAUUCAAGCCUGCCUUAUGUGGAAGCCCUGCGGUCUACUUGUCGGGGAGGAGGGGAGUGUAUGCAGGGUGGCAAGGCUUGAGAAGUAAAUAAAGCCAAAAAGGCAUCACUUGUUUAACUUUCAAGUCAGUGACAAAACCUAACAUUUUUAAUGUAACUGAUGGAAGUAAAGAAGUUUUAAAGACCUAAGGUUUCUGUUUAAGAAUUAUAUACUUAAUAGCUUUAUGUUCAGUGGAAUAACUGAGAUAAUUAUGCCUUCGAUAAUUUAUUAUUAAAGCUUAUCAUUCCUCGUUUGUGUCAGAAAUGUGCAGAGCACUUCCUGCUCAUAGGAUAAUUAAAACUAUACAUUCUA